AGUACUGCGCUGCGAUCGGAGAUCCGAUGUCGAGUGUUUGAAGAACAUCGGAGAGAGAGAGAGAGAGGAGAGAGAGAGCUUGUUUGUCGAUCCUCGAAGCUGCGUGAUCUGCGGGGAGCAGAGAUGAGCUCGACGCAGGGGCCUCACUCUCUGGCCUUCCGGGUGAUGAGGCUAUGCCGCCCCUCCCUCCUUGUCGACCCUCCCCUCCUCGUCCACCCCUCCGAUCUCCUCGUCGGCGAGGACCUCCUCGACCACCCCCUCGCCGCCUCCCGCCUCCCUCCCCUCAUCGCCUCCCACCUCUCCGACGCCUCCGACCCCACCUACCGCUCCCGCUUCCUCCUCCGCGACCCCGCCGACGCCAUGGGCCUCUCCGGCCUCCUCCUCCUCCCUCAGGCCUUCGGGGCGAUUUAUUUGGGAGAGACGUUUUGCAGCUACAUAAGUAUCAACAACAGCUCCACUUUUGAAGUCAGGGACGUCACGAUUAAGGCAGAAAUUCAAACUGAGAGGCAGCGGCUUUUGCUUUUGGAUACUUCCAAGUCUCCAGUUGAAACAAUACGUGCAGGAGGGCGUUAUGAUUUUAUUGUAGAGCAUGAUGUGAAGGAACUUGGAGCUCAUACCCUGGUUUGCACGGCAUUGUAUUCUGACGGUGAUGGAGAGAGAAAAUAUCUACCUCAAUUUUUCAAAUUCGUUGUUGCGAAUCCACUUUCCGUGAGGACAAAGGUCCGUGUGGUCAAGGAAACUACAUUUCUGGAAGCAUGCAUUGAAAAUCACACCAAAUCAAACUUGUAUAUGGACCAAGUUGAGUUUGAGCCAGCACAAUACUGGGGUGCAACAAUCUUAAAAGCUGAUGAGCGCCAGUCCAAGAUAUAUUCUGCAGCUAAAGAGAUAUUUAAGCCACCAAUCCUGAUCAGAUCAGGUGGAGGAAUUCAGAACUAUCUUUAUCAGUUGAAAUCAUCCUCGCAGAGUAAUGUACAAAUGAAAGUUGAGGGAAAUAACAUUCUUGGUAAGCUUCAGAUCACGUGGCGCACGAAUCUGGGUGAACCUGGUCGUUUACAGACACAGCAGAUUCUUGGGACUGCCAUCACUCGCAAGGAUAUUGACUUGCGCAUUGUGGAGACUCCAAUCGAUAUUAACUUGGGAAGAUCCUUCUCGGUACGCUUCAAUCUCAUGAACUUGACGGACCGAGAAUUGGGCCCCUUUGAAGUUUGGUUAUUGCAGAAUGAUUCACCUGAGGACAGGGCUGUUAUGGUUAACGGUCUUCAAAAGAUGGCUUUACCAAAGGUGGAGGCAUUUGGUUUAUCAGAUUUUGCACUGAAUUUAAUUGCUACUAAACUCGGAGUUCAGAGAAUUACAGGCAUCACUGUGUUUGACAUAACAGAGGCCAAAAGUUAUGAUCUGUUGCCAGAUUGGGAGAUUUUCGUGGAUGUCAAGUGAUCUAUCUUCCCAUCUGACCUGUUCCACCAUUGGAAGAUAACUCCAAUUCCAUAGUGUUCGAGUUUUGCGAGAAAAAGUUCAUUUUGACGAUCUUCACAGAAGCCAUUGCUUGGUCAUUGUACAUAUCCACCUCAAGUUAGUGCAGAUUUCUGCCUGUCAACCCUGUUGGUGAAUCUGAUCAAGUUUCUGGACGUGCACACAGAAUAUCUGGUGCGUCAGUUAAUUUUUUACCCCCAAUUUCUGUCUCAAAGCUAAACUUGGUCACACCUGCCAAUU